rnacentral:rRNA from 1 species
UAGUCCACGCCGUAAACGAUGCUCACUCGUUGUUUGCGAUACACAGUAAGCGACUGAGGGAAACCAUUAAGUGAGCCACCUGGGGAGUACGUUGGCAACAAUGAAACUCAAAGGAAUUGACGGGGGCCCGCACAAGCGGAGGAACGUGUGGUUUAAUUCGAUGAUACGCGAGGAACCUUACCUGGUCUUAAAUGUAGAUUGCAUUAAAAGGAAACUUUUAUUUUCUUCGGAACUAUUUACAAGGUGCUGCAUGGUUGUCGUCAGCUCGUGCCGUGAGGUGUCGGGUUAAGUCCCAUAACGAGCGCAACCCCUAUCGUUAGUUGCUAACAGGUUAAGCUGAGGACUCUAGCGAGACUGCCGGUGUAAACCGCGAGGAAGGUGGGGAUGACGUCAAAUCAGCACGGCCCUUAUGACCAGGGCUACACACGUGUUACAAUGGCCGAUACAAAGGGCAGCUACCAGGCGACUGGAUGCUAAUCUCGAAAGUCGGUCUUAGUUCGGAUCGGAGUCUGCAACUCGACU